rnacentral:rRNA from 1 species
GACGGUAACAGCCCGGUAGUUGAAAUGGCUUUCCCUCCAGAGUGGAUCCUGAGUACGGCGGAACACGUGAAAUUCCGUCGGAAUCCGGGAGGACCAUCUCCCAAGGCUAAAUACUCCCUAGUGACCGAUAGUGAACCAGUACCGUGAGGGAAAGGUGAAAAGCACCCCGGAAGGGGAGUGAAACAGUUCCUGAAACCGUGUGCCUACAAGUAGUUAGAGCCCGUUAAUGGGUGAUAGCGUGCCUUUUGUAGAAUGAACCGGCGAGUUACGAUUUGUUGCAAGGUUAAGCGGAAAAAGCGGAGCCGUAGCGAAAGCGAGUCUGAAUAGGGCGCAUAAGUAACAGGUCGUAGACCCGAAACCAGGUGAUCUACCCAUGUCCAGGAUGAAGGUAAGGUAAUACUUACUGGAGGUCCGAACCCACGCACGUUGAAAAGUGCGGGGAUGAGGUGUGGGUAGCGGAGAAAUUCCAAUCGAACUUGGAGAUAGCUGGUUCUCUCCGAAAUAGCUUUAGGGCUAGCCUCGAGGUAAAGAGUCAUGGAGGUAGAGCACUGUUUGGACUAGGGGCCCUUCUCGGGUUACCGAAUUCAGAUAAACUCCGAAUGCCAUGUACUUAUACUCGGGAGUCAGACUGCGAGUGAUAAGAUCCGUAGUCGAAAGGGAAACAGCCCAGACCACCAGUUAAGGUCCCCAAAUAUAUGUUAAGUGGAAAAGGAUGUGGGGUUGCUUAGACAACCAGGAUGUUGGCUUAGAAGCAGCCACCAUUGAAAGAGUGCGUAAUAGCUCACUGGUCGAGUGACCCCGCGCCGAAAAUGUACCGGGGCUAAACAUAUUACCGAAACUGUGGAUGAACCUCUUUAGAGGUUCGUGGUAGGAGAGCGUUCUAAGGGCGGUGAAGUCAGACCGGAAGGACUGGUGGAGCGCUUAGAAGUGAGAAUGCCGGUAUGAGUAGCGAAAGAAGGGUGAGAAUCCCUUCCACCGAAUAUCUAAGGUUUCCUGAGGAAGGCUCGUCCGCUCAGGGUUAGUCGGGACCUAAGCCGAGGCCGAUAGGCGUAGGCGAUGGACAACAGGUAGAGAUUCCUGUACCAGUGCUAAUUGUUUAACCGAUGGGGUGACACAGAAGGAUAGGGAAUCGCAC